UGUUAUGGCGGCUGUGUGCGGGGCACGUUCUAGUGCGCCGAGUUAGGGUGGAUCCUCGGUCUGUCAACCCGCAUGCAGCUGCCACCCUU
rnacentral:antisense_RNA from 1 species